CCCUGCCGCGAAUUCUUUGAUGAUGGCUGAAGAGAACAAGUGUUGGGACUUUCUUUGUCACACUUUCAAAAUAGGUAAACUGACAAGGUGGAGCUGCCCGAGCCCCUCCUAGACCAUGCUUCAACCAAGACGGACAGUGAGCAACCCUGCAUUCCUCUGGGGCCGUGUCCCUACUGCAAUCUCAAGAGCCAUUGGAAGAGCGACUGUCCUGGCUGCCACACACAGGAUGGAUAACAGCCUUUCCCACAACCAAGGAGACUGAUGAUGUACUUACUAAAGUCCUGUUACAGAAAAUCAUCCCAAGGACUACAACCAAGGUGGAGCAGUCCUUGCCUGGUCUUCUUGGCAACCCCAGCAGUGGUCAAAGUUGCUGGGCUGCCAUCCUGGUUCCACAUCACUCAAGCUAAGCAGUGCCCUCUAAACCCUAAAUCUAACCACCCCGAGUGGUCACAUUAUCUUCUAUCUCCCACCCAUCUCCAUCUCACCAAGGCCUCACAGCCACAGUUCUCAGGCUAAGAUGCAGGCAUUCACCAGUGAUAAAGUUGUCCUGGCUGAAACACCUGGUACCAGCUUCUGCAUGAGCAUCAUCCAUCAUCCCAUCAACCUUCCUAAACCCAAAUUUAACCACCCCCCUUUCAGCAGGAAGUAGUAAGAGAGAGACUUCGCCCUUCUCCUAACAAUAAAAGAUGGGAAUGAAAGAGUUUUGUCUUAGAAUAAGCUAUACAAUAUUAUGGCGAUGGAAGGUGGGUCAAAGGAUAUUUACCUUGAGGUCACUUCCUCCUUCCCCUUUCCCAGUGUGUGUGAAAAGAGUUCCAAUCAGGUGCUCAUGUAUCAUCAGUGCCCGCCCUAAGAGCCACCCCUGGUCAGAGGUUAUAUGUAUAUCCCAUGCCCCACCUUCCGAUCAGAGGUGCCUAUGGUCAUAGACUCCUCUCCAUAUCCUUGGAAUAAAGGCUACUUUUUACUUUAUAUUUCUCUCUUUUAUUGCACUGAAAACUCUAACAAGAAUAGGUUGGCCGUGGAGGGAGUGCUGCCUUGUGGAAGCCCAGGCACAGAGUGCAGGAAGCACCGACUUCUGCAAAGGAGGACACAGCUCUGUCUCGGGGCAAGCGCCAGGUCUCGAGUGAUGACUGGGUAUCUCGGAUUCUUGCAGCAGAACAAAGAUGAUCCUACAUACAAAUCCGCCCCGACAUCCAGGUACACGUUACCCUGGGCUGUGGACAAGUCCCUCCGUAAUCAUCAGACCCUUUGAACCCAUGAUGCUGAACUUAUGUGAGAACAAAUCAGCCGGUAGCCAUCACUAGCUCAAAGGCUGUAACUAUCCAAGGAAAUCAAGAUAUCAGGAAGGAAAGAAGCCAAGUACUCCAUAACCCCAGCACUGUGGGAGGCUGAGGCAGGAGGAUGGUGCCCUCUUCUUCUUCCCGCCUCACCUUUCGCCUUUAGAGUCCUGCUGAUUCCACAAACAAAUGCCUGGUCAGAAGGUGCAUGUUCCUGCCAGGCGGAAAAACAAAUCAAAGGAGAGCUGUCCAGCUUGUCACCUUCGUUCUUGGCAGGAACGAGAUGUUAAUUUUUGCAGCUGUGGCAAGAGGCCUGUCCCCAGGCUUGGCAGGAGCAGAGGGGGAACCGAAGCGUCAUACGGAUCUCAUCUACAAAAGUCCCCCUGUGGGGUCUUUCUUGUUCCCAUCUGCCACUUUUGAAGAUGUGCUUCACUAUUAGGCACAUAGGCUACCAUCCUUUCUAGUCUGGCCUAAAUGCAAUAUUAAAGACGUCUGGAGAAACCCCA